UGGGGAAUUUUGGACAAUGGGGGAAACCCUGAUCCAGCCAUGCCGCGUGAGUGAAGAAGGCCUUCGGGUUGUAAAGCUCUUUCGUGAGGAAAGAAACGGUCCGCGCUAAUACCGCGGACUACUGACGGUACCUCAAGAAGAAGCACCGGCUAACUACGUGCCAGCAGCCGCGGUAAUACGUAGGGUGCGAGCGUUAAUCGGAAUUACUGGGCGUAAAGCGUGCGCAGGCGGCUUCGCAAGUCAGGUGUGAAAUCCCCGGGCUUAACCUGGGAAUUGCGCUUGAAACUACGGAGCUAGAGUGUGUCAGAGGGAGGUAGAAUUCCACGUGUAGCAGUGAAAUGCGUAGAGAUGUGGAGGAACACCGAUGGCGAAGGCAGCCUCCUGGGAUAACACUGACGCUCAUGUACGAAAGCGUGGGGAGCAAACAG
rnacentral:rRNA from 1 species